AUUAAUAAAACUUCAUGGAUUAGGAGACUUUCUUCUCAUUCAUAUGAAAAUAUAAUUAAAUGCACCUCUACAUAUAUUUUCUCUGUAAUUUAUAUAUUACAUCCUUGAACCUCUACUUUAAAUACAUUAUAAUAUUAUAAUCUUACUACAGUAUUGAUAAAAAUAUUUUAGUAUACCAUUUUUUUAUUUUGUUAUACAAGGCAAAAAACAAUAUGAGAAAGAUAGCUCAAUAAAAGUGAGAUGUAUUAAAAAAUUAAUUUUGUUUUGUUAACACUAAUUAAAUGUAUGUGAUAAAUUUUCUGGCACAUAUCUAUACAAAUGAUUAGCACAUACAAAAUUUUUUAUAAAUUUUCAAUUUUAUUAAUACGAUUUCUUUUUUAACAACAGGUUGAUAAAUUAUGUAAUACAAAAUGAAUAUAUUCAAAACAAAAAAAUAAUUAAUUUGUUUUGUUAAUAUAAUUAUAUAUAUAUAUAUUUAUAUAUACAUAGACAAUAAUUACUACUAAUUACUAGGAAUUUUUUCUAAAUGCCUUAUGGCAUCCUUAAUUUUGCAUAGCAACUCCUGUAAUUGCUGCAAUGUACAUGUAAAUGUCACAUAUUUUAUUUCUGCAUAUUCCUUUGUGGUAAACCGUACAUGAUACUGAAAGGAUCCAAUAGAACUUUGAAAUCCAUACUGUAAAUUAAAAGAUAUAGGUAUACUCAUUGUUAUAUUUAUUAUUUAUAUCUCAAGUAUGUUUAUUAACACAUAAACGUUAAAUAAAUAGAAUUUUAAACAAUAAUAUACCUUAAUGCAAUGACUUAAACGCCAAUCGGUGUCUACUAUAUGGGGUAAAUUAUUUCCAAUUAAUUGUAACUGCAUUUGAAUUUCUUGUUUAUUAUUUGCAUAGCUAUAACAUAUUUUGUCUGCUCUGUGACUAACAAUUGGUGUGUUAUUUAAAAACUUUUCUAAACUUUCCUUAUCGAAAUCAUGUCUAGCAGCUUCAACGAAAAGACAGCUUAAGUCGACAAAGGCAUUUUUGGCAAUGUCAAAUUUUGAACUGUUGGUUUUGACGCUGCACUGACCUUUUGUUUUAAUAUAAAUUUACACAGUAUAAUGCAAGCGUAUUGUGAAGUAAAAGUAAUUUUACUUUUAAUAUAAUGUUGUACAUAUUUUACCUUUCGGGUCUACAGUUUUACCUAUAUUAAAAAUUACAGCUUCUAAAACCUGCACGAAAAUCUCUUCAGAUAAAAUAUUUAAGUCUUUAAUAUUUGUAAGAUUAUUCAUUAUUUUCUCUGAUAGUUCCAUCUUAAAUUUAAAUUUAAUAAGAUUAUAGUUUUUAAGAGGAAUAAUUAUACUGUUUUAUUUGUUAGAUUACAAUGUAUGUCUUAAAACGCAAUAGAAUUUCACACACAAUCAAUUUUAUACACGCGUAUGUUUAAUAGUUUUAUUAUUUAUUAAUUAUAAUGAAGCUACGAACGCCAUUUCAAUGGCAUUAUUAAAAUAAUUUAAUAUGUUUUUUAAUAAUUUAAUACGAUGAAAUUGUUUUUAGAAAUGGAGACCAGAGGCACGACUUGUUUGACACGGCACUGUUUGACAGAGCUUCUUAAAAGUACCACUAGGAGAUGCUUCGAUUAAUUUGAAGUUGCUCGAGUAAAGAUGAUAAUAUUAGGAAAACAUUGUUUUCCUAUUGAAUACAAAUACUUGUACGUGUAUUAGUCAGAAUAAGAAUGAAAAGAUUUUAGAAAAAUUCAGAAAUAUGUAGCCAUUCGCUCAGUAGUCCUUACGUUAUAUGAUUUUCAAUUAGAUAUCAAUCUAUCACAACUAUUACCGAUCCAGGUCUCACCACGUGGAGAUUGCUGCAUCUGGAGACCCACGGGCUAACAUUGACUCUAAAAUCCACGUUCCGCGAUACCUCUUAGCUUUGGGAGCUUCAGGCUUUUUAACUAACAGAAGAUGUAUGACACGAAUUAUUAAGCACGACCGUUCGUGGUUUCCGAAUUUCGAACAAUAAAAGCGCAGUCCUCGAUAGUACUUUUAAUCGCGUCCGUGCGAUACUACGUGUGGUUAAAGUAACGCUUACUCUACUCUAAAAUCCGCGUUCACGAGGUAAUCUAAUCGGAUUUUCGAGCAAAUGAAACAAAGUCCACGGUAGGGCCAUUAAUCUCGCCCGAACAUCCACGCGAAUAUUAGAAAAACGAUGACUCCAAUUUAAAAUCCGCGGGUUCCCAGGGAAUCAGGCGAGCAAUCAAAUGAAGUUUAAUCUUUUAUAAAUACAAUCUGUGCGACUGUUAAAAAAGCAAUAAACUUUGCGAACAAACACAGACUCUAAAGACUGCAUUACACGCAGUCGAUGCAAGAACACUUGCAGUUUAAGUCGCGAAACGCGAACGAACGAAUAAUUCCACUUCGUGAUAUUCUUAUUUUAGCGAUACAAAUACUCGAUUACAUCAUUGCUUAAAAUUAUUACUAUCACUGUUAUAAUAAGAAACUGUACAAAUUAUUGAAGAAACGGGCGAUAUAAAAAUAUACUUACAUUAAAUAUUCGUUGAUACUUACAGCAAAGACAUCCCUCGGAUUUUACUCGUCGGACGACAAAGGAGAACUAAUCCAGGAAAUCGUCCAAGUCAAUAAAAAGAUCAUAUAUGUUGAUAUAAAAAAAAAGACAACAACCACGAGAUGAACAUUUUAAAGUAUUGAAAUUUUUAAUUAAAAUUAUUUUAAGUUUCUUGCGUGUUACGAUUUUCGUAAUAUUUGUGCGAAUGUAUUAUUUUUAAAUAUUAGUAUAUCGUAUUCCGUAUACAUUAAAGAUUGUUUAAAUAAUUGGAAUAUUAUUGAAAGUACAAUUUUAUAAUAUUUCACAUUUCUUCGAUUUUGCUUACGUAUUCAGACAACGAGCGCGCGUGUAAAUUUUUAUUCCAUUCAAAGCUCAUUAAAACGUCUGUACAAGUGAUGAACGGUAAAUGCGUAUCCUUGCGUUUAUUUGGAUAAGAAAAUUUCAUCAUAGUUUACAUACAUAAAGAAGGAAACAAUCGUCUAUUUUACAAAAACAAAACACAAUGUUUAUUCGUAAAUCAUAAAUAGCGUGGUGAGAGAUUUGUCUCUUUUGCCGCAGAGUUUAGGGGCGCCACUAUAAAUGUUGAAAAAUGUCGAAAAACCCAACUGCGAGUCCAGUCUUGAUUACAAUAUGUUCUCGUCGUACGACAUUUGGGUCUAUUCAAACGUUUAUUCAAACGUUCAGACGUAGAAAAUUUAUUUCAAUUAUUUGAUGUUCGAUUUUGGCUGUCAUUUAUUUAGGUUAGAGCGAUUGGAUUAGGCUCGAAAAUGAUAUGGUUUUAAUAUAACUCGGUCACAAAUAACAUUGGAUAUUCAUGCAGUACGAAUAGAAAUAUGAUUACUAUGUAAUCAAACAAAUAGCUUUUAGAUAGAAGAGAUGCACAAAUAUAAAGGCAUUAAGUGCAGAAAGAAGUAAAUAUCCCAAUAAUAAAUCACAUAGACUGGUGCACUCUACCUUCCCAAUCCUGAAGCUGUUCGCAUGAAAUCAUCCGCAUGAGGUUGUGACCAGAGCAGCAAUAAUAACAUGUUAUUUAUGAUGCAUUUAAUGCAGGGAUGUCAGAAAAAUAUAUCAAAUAGAAGAGAUAAAAAUAUAGCUCCUGUAAAUAUGUAUCAAUCGAAUCAAUUGCGAAGAUUAAUACACUGAAUGCUCGGAUGUAAUAGAACUUUAUGUAAAAUAGAACAAAGGAUCGAAUUCAAAGGGCCUAGACUAACAGUUGAUAAUAAUUUAGUUUACCAUGGAUCUUGGUUAAAAAAAUAAGUCAUAUAUAUAUAAUGAAAUAAUUUGUUGAUAAUAUUGAAUAUCUAUCAUUUCAUUAGAAAUAUGGCACAACAAU